UACGGGGGGGGCAAGCGUUGUUCGGAAUUACUGGGCGUAAAGGGGGCGUAGGCGGCUUCUUAAGUCUGGUGUGAAAUCUCCCGGCUCAACUGGGAGGGUGCGCCGGAUACUGAGGGGCUAGAGUGUGGGAGAGGAAAGUGGAAUUCCUGGUGUAGCGGUGAAAUGCGUAGAUAUCAGGAGGAACGCCGGUGGUGUAAACGGCUUUCUGGACCAUAACUGACGCUGAGGCACGAAAGCGUGGGUAGCAAACAGG
rnacentral:rRNA from 1 species